rnacentral:rRNA from 1 species
UACGUAGGGUGCGAGCGUUGUCCGGAUUUAUUGGGCGUAAAAGAGCUUGUAGGCGGUUUGUCGCGUCUGCUGUGAAAUUUCGGGGCUCAACCCCGAACUUGCAGUGGGGUACGGGGCAGACUAGAGUGUGGUAGGGGGAGACUGGAAUUCCUGGUGUAGCGGUGAAAAUGCGCAGAUAUCAGGAGGAACACCGGUGGCGA